AUGGCUCAGGAUGAACGCUAGCGGCAGGCUUAAUACAUGCAAGUCGUGGGGCAGCAUGAGUAGCAAUACUUGAUGGCGACCGGCAAACGGGUGAGGAACACGUACACAACCUUCCUUCAAGCGGGGAAUAGCCCAGAGAAAUUUGGAUUAAUACCCCAUAAUAUAUUUGAUAAGGCAUCUUAUUAAUAUUAAAGCUUCGGCACUUGAUGAUGGGUGUGCGGCUGAUUAGAUAGUUGGCGGGGUAACGGCCCACCAAGUCUACGAUCAGUAGCUGAUGUGAGAGCAUGAUCAGCCACACGGGCACUGAGACACGGGCCCGACUCCUACGGGAGGCAGCAGUAAGGAAUAUUGGACAAUGGACGAAAGUCUGAUCCAGCCAUGCCGCGUGAAGGAUUAAGGUCCUCUGGAUUGUAAACUUCUUUUAUAUGGGACGAAAAAAGGGCAUUCUUGUUCACUUGACGGUACCAUAUGAAUAAGCACCGGCUAACUCCGUG
rnacentral:rRNA from 1 species